CUGGAAUUCAUCACUGCAGUCAAAAACAAAUUUGGACUCCAUGAUGCAGCUGAACUUCACAUAUUUGAUGAAACUGACACUGCAGUGGAGGAAGACAUUCUUCUUGAACUGAUAAGAGUCCAAUCCAGACCUUUGCCUGAUCGUGCGUGACAGCAUUUCAGAUAAAGAUCAUUCAACACCAUCUUCUCUCACGGAUACAUGACGCUUUCUUCAAGUGACAAUGACCUCUCCGGUCAAAGACAAAGGGGGAUUUUGAGCUCUGAGGUCAUGGACAGGUCUACAAAAAAGGUUUCGGAUUCAGAGGCUGCCAAAGAGGUACUUGAGAGCAGUAGAUGUCAGUUAACAUUUUUACUCACAAUAUCAUCAAGAAAAUUGUUUAACUGAAUUAUGAUUCUCACCAAUUGGACUAUAAUUAAAUUUAGAAUGG